GCCCCUCUGUCAACAGAAAGCAGUUAUAGAAGACUGACCUUUGCGCAUUUUCCCCCAAAGAUUUGGGGUCUUGGAAUCUUGAGGGUGGAAAUGGCGCAGUGGGUAGCUAGUCAGGUAUCAGCAGGGCAGGAGAGGGCACGCACGCGCGCACACACGCACGCACGCGCACACCACGAGUGUUGGGUGACCAUCAGGUGAUGGUCAGGCAGUUGUUAACUGUCUCGCUAAAGUAAUAAUUGGCCACAGCCAGUGCCAGAGAAAGUCAGUCUACUAAUACAUGUAGAUAGGAAACACCUGAAACUGAUCAGCAGCUUCCCAGUAAGAUCUCAGGAGUGGAGAGAAGGAACGCAAGAUCCCGGAAAAUAAAGCCCAAAAAUAUUAGCAUAACAUUCAGGGGACUUCGUGAUCAAGAUCCACUUUAUCUCCCCUGUGUUAUCUCUGACUGCCACCCUGUGAAACCUUGAUUCAACUACACCAAACCACUGACAAUUCUUGAGAACAUGAAGUUAUUAAAAAGUAAAAUCUAUAUUUGGGGGCAAUAUAACUGUAGAAAAUCCAGAAAAAGUCAUUUGAAAAACAAAGUUAAUAAGCCUUUAGAGCAAUUGUUAAAAUGUUUGCAUCUAUUAAAAUGUGUGUAAAGAUACCAAAUUAUGUGAGACAUGCUUAUAAUGUUAGCUGAUAAAAACAGAAUUUUAAAUUAUAUCUACCAUAUGGUCUAAUCAAAGUUUUAAAAAACCUAAAUAUGAAAUAAAUGUUACAGAAAUAUACUAAAAUGUUAACAUUAAUGGCCAUCAUAUUUGGGAGGACAAAUUUUUUCCUACUUCCUAGUUUUAUUUUAUACACAUAAGUUAGGGGGUUUUUUUGGUUUCUGUUUUUGUUUUUUGACACAGGGUCUUGCUCUAGAGUAUGGUAAUGCAAUCACCCAGGCUAGAGUACAGUAAUGCAAUCAUGGCUCACUGCAGCCUCGACCUCCGUGGCUCAAGC
rnacentral:lncRNA from 1 species